UACGAAGGGGGCUAGCGUUGCUCGGAAUCACUGGGCGUAAAGCGCACGUAGGCGGAUCGUUAAGUCAGGGGUGAAAUCCUGGAGCUCAACUCCAGAACUGCCUUUGAUACUGGCGAUCUUGAGUUCGGGAGAGGUGAGUGGAACUGCGAGUGUAGAGGUGAAAUUCGUAGAUAUUCGCAGGAACACCAGUGGCGAAGGCGGCUCACUGGCCCGAUACUGACGCUGAGGUGCGAAAGCGUGGGGAGCAAACAGG
rnacentral:rRNA from 1 species